UCCUUAAUUCUUUACUCUCUGUCUGAACAACCUGUACAUGGGUAAAAGUGUGAUGUUGAAGUCUCCCACUAAGUCCCAAUAAUGUUUCUUUUACAAAGGUGGAUUCCCUUGUAUUGGGGACAUAAAUGUGUGUUGAUGAACUAGGAAAGCUUGUGUUAGGAUUCAGGCACCUCCUGCCUCCUGUCACCUAGCUAGCCAGCCCAGAGUCCCAUGGCUGCCAUGUCACUGAUUAUUCUGCAUACAGGUACAAAAGGUCCCUUUAAGGGAUAGGCUCCACCCAUUACUGAUCUCUUUUCUCUGUUGUCUGAAGUAACAAACAGGCCUUUACACUUCUGUCUCUCUUGCUAUUCUCUCUUUCUCCUUCCCCCUUUUCUCAAUAAAUAUUUCACUUAAGUUUUGUCUGCAUGGUUUAUUUGUCUCUCAUCCUCCACACAGCCUCUGACUCCCACCAGUCAAGGUCUCUCUCAGGCAGUUAUACAAACUCCAAGGUUCAGUCUCAUGGCAUAUAAAUACAGUGGUGCCAGCCUCUACCAGGCUCUGCAAGUGGGCAGACUGGAAUAUGCAAGAAUCCUGUCCUUUGACUGGCCGCUUUCCAGAUCACCCAUCUGCUGGGAUAGUAAGCACAACACCAGCUAAGGUUGGUAGAUUCCUUCCUGCUCCCCAAGUGGAUUUUUCUGACAAUCACCACUGGCAUGAUCUACAAGUGGGGCUUUAUGGCCUAGCACCUCAGGGCCCCCUGCUUUAACACAGGGGUUUGUGUCUUUGCUUUUUGGACCUGUGGGUCCUUCAGGCCUUCUAUGUUCCUCUGUUCUCAGUUAUAUGGGUCUUUUGGUCUAUACAGUCUUUCUUCUUCGUGCUUUCUCAUUCGGGUUUCAUGCCCUUCGGGCUUCAUGGCCUCUCGGACCCCAUUUUUUUGCCGAUGACCAAAUUAAUGGCCUGAGCCAGUAUCACUGGUCCUUGCUUGAAAAGGAUCAUUGGAUCUUCUUGCCUCAUUUGUGGGAAAAAGCUGACAAAAACCAUAAGCCCAUCCGCUCCACUACUAUGUCUUUCACUCUUUUGCCUCUGUACUCAAAUUGGCCACCUAAAGGCUUUUUACCUCCUGAAGUUUUACUGGACCUUUCUAACUUCUGCCAGCGGAUGGGUAAAAGGAAGGAGCUGCCGUGCACACAAUCAUCUUUUCUAUCUCAGUGUUGGAGGGUUCUGUUCUUCCGCCUGUCUGCGCUGCUGCUUCUGUCCACCCUCACCCUCCUGCCACAGCUGCCCCAGGGGGCAGAAUCCUCUCUCUGGCUGGAAAUGUUCUGUUUCACUAGGUAUCUCGAUCUCCUGUUCAAAAUGCCUCCCUUUUCUUCAUGUCCUGUCUCUGUCAUGGGACAGGACCCUGCUUUCCUGACCUGAGAUAAACAGCAUAUAUAGGGAUGUUUCCUGAUUGUUUACGUAUGAAAAAGUAAUGUACGUAUGCUUUGGCCACUUGUUUGUGACUCCGUUGUGAAUGCCUGGGUUAUACGUACCCUGCAUGAGUGGAUAUACCUUAAAUCCUAUAAAGUGCCUUGUAACACACGGGUAGAUUCCACCUUGGCUAAGAGCAGGUCCUACGACCCGACUGCCAAGGUUAAAACCUAAUGAGCUUUCCCUCUGUUCUUUCUCCCAGUGCUGGCCACCCAGGUGUGCAGCUGCUGCUCUGACUCUGCACACACACACACACACACACACACACACACACACACACACACACACCAGUAUGUCUAGGGCUUGCUGCAGCUCAGGGCUGCUGCGCUGUUCCUGUCUCCCCUCUGGGCAAUAGUGUGACAGGGUGUGGGUACACUCUGUGCAGUGCCCAUAGCAUACCCUAGUCUCUGCCUUCUAAAGGGCCUGCCAGGCAGAGUUCAUUCAUUCUCUUUGGCUCAGCCCUCACCUUCGUUUUGUGGCAUUGUCUCUAAUUCCCUCUCGCACAGUGGCAUGCUGAUUGGUAGGGCCCGCCAAUGACAGCCAAUUCACGCAGAGACCCCACCAGAUCCGCUCUCUCCCUCCUGCAACAAACCUGCCUUUUAGUUCAUGGUAGGAGAGGUUGAGGUCUCAUCCUGGAUACAUGAGUAAAUACAUGAAAAGGAUUUGAUCAGGUCAUCCGAGCAACCUGGAGCGAAAAGGAUAAAGCAGAAUGUGAUGUGAGAAGAGCGAACGGAAAAUUCUUAUCUAUAGAAGGCUAUCAUGUCUCUGGCACAACCUUAGUUGGGCAGGUCGCACAAACAGCUUGGGUACAGACUGGUAGAAGAGUUUCUUAUUUUGUUUUCAGGAUGGUCAGACUGGUAGAAGAGGAAUCAUGUAUCGUGCAUGAUCCCUGAUGCAUCUCCAACACAACAUGCAAAAACGUUUCACUGAACCCUCAUGUGUGCACUGAGACUGAGUCAGAAAUGUCCCCUGUGUCCACCACCAUGAGCCUCUCUAGGCAGAAGUCCCUCCAGCACAUUCUAGCUCAGUGCUGGUUCUGGUUGCAUGGGGAUAGACCAGAAUUCCCAGGCCAGCCUUGGUGUCUAUGUGGUGGGUCUGUGUCAUGAACCUAAGGCAGGCCAAGUGUUCUGGUUUUAGACAUCUGCAUUUAGGAAGCUGUAGCAUUGAUGAAACAAAAUACUUACGGGCAAAUGUUCAGAUUGAAUGUGGUGUCACUCAUUUGGUUCCUGGAUUUACACUUAUAUAGUCCUGUGCCAGUGGUGGCAUUCAUUAAAGUGAGAGCUGCAUUGCCUUCUGACAGCUUCACCCUUUCUCCUUCGGUGAGACUGACCAUUUUUCCUCCACAGGUAGGUUGUGGUUGACUCUCAUGCACAAACGUCAUGACUAUAAUCUUUAACCUCCAUGGGGUUGGAGUUGUUGCUUGUGAUAGUGGCUUUGCAUAGCAGUGCUGUGUCUGUGAAGACAGCAGAGAGAAGAUGGCCUGCUGUGUGACCUCUGACACAUGCAAAGGCCUCUUUCAACCACUGUUGCCCUGUCUAACAUCCACCCCUAAUCCCUGUUCUUAGAAAACCAGGCAAAAGAUGAAUCACAGGCCAAUGCAGGAGGACUUGAGUGCUCAGAGACAAUGGGUUUCCUGUGCUGUGUGGGAGAAACAGUCUUUGCCAUGUGUGAACUGAGCUGCAGAUCAUGGUGGUACCGACCUAGGAUCUGGAGUCAGAUGACCAUUGUCUCUCCAGGAUGUUACUGACCCACAUAUUCCUUGCACCAAAAAUGCUGUGUCUCCCUGAUUGUACUGAUAUCCACUGCUGAGCCUGUGUCAGUGCCCUCCAAGGACAGAUUAAGAGUUUCCCUGAGAAGCACCCACAUAUAGUUCUUGGGACUUGUGUGUUCAGAAAUCUCAAACAUGAGACCAGGAGCAUGCCCGUCGUUCAGCUAAAUGAGCAGUUUGGAUCAUAACAUGUCCAAAUUUCACAGGUGUUUGAUGGUAACUGAGGUUCACAGGUCUCCAAAAGGCAAGUGAGUUUUAGAAUGAUCUAGUAAAGGAAAGAAUAAGGGGUACAGCUGAGUUUGUAGCCAAAUAAUUGUUUUGGCCUAUAAUGUUCUGUCUUUCACAUGUAAUGAACAUAAAAAGAUAUUUUUUAAAAGAUACGUUACUGUUUUCUUCCUUUCCUUAUUUCUUCCUUCCUUCCUUACUUUCUUGCUUCCUUUCUUUCAUUUUUGUUUCUUUCCAUGUGUUUUGUUAUUUUACUUCAGGUAUUUUACUUCACGUAUAUCUGUGAACCACAAGUACUCAAGAUGACCACAGAAGCCAGAAGGAAGAUAUCCCCUCAAGUCACCAAUGAUUGAGAUUAAGAUCUCUGAAAAAUAGCUCUUCUUCCUCUACGGAUACCUGAGAAGGGCUCAAAGGUGAAGACACUGUAUACAUGGUUGUACAUAGAAUUGAAGUCUAUAACACAUGGCCUCUGUGAGGCAGAUGAACACUGGGGUUUCUGUGUCUCAUUUUCCCAAUGAUAGCACACAAAUAAAUGUUGCCAUGAAGAUAAAGUAUCCUCAGUAUGAACAAAGUCCUGACAGUGGGAGAGGACAGCUCUCAGGAUCAGCACUAUUUGCUACUAUUUCCUGCAGGAGAGAAUUUUUGCUCGACUUAAUCCCUGUGAACAUGCACUCAUCAGGAGGACUUAUGUCCUUUUUUACUCCUCUUGGAGACCUCGGCUAUCUUGUGAAACCUCAUAAGCCCAUCAGAACCAUGGGCUAAUGGCCUGGGUACCAGUACAGCUUGAGUGUCUAUACUGAGACUCAGAAAGAGAUGCCAGCUUGACUAUUGGGUGAAAUUGUGUGAAAUCCCCUAGAGUUGGAGUUAGAUGAGGUAGUGAUUCCUCUUCACAUGGACCCUGGGAACUAAACUCAGAUUGUCUGGAAGAGCAAGAAGUGCUACUAAACACUGUGUCAUCUUACAAACAAUCUUUCUCAUUCUCUUCCUUGUUCCCAUUAUGGAUAUAGCAAACUGCCAAAUUCACCUUCUAAUUGUGUGACUGCCUUUUUUUUUCCAUUGCAACUUGGGCUUUGGGAAGACAUAAUGUACCUGUUAUUUUGAUAUGUUUCAAUGCCAAGAAAAAUCUGAGACAUCUGUGGAUAAAUGAAUAAAUGAUUAUACAAGGGCACUGAUUUUUAAA